GAAACUGCCUGAUGGAGGGGGAUAACUACUGGAAACGGUAGCUAAUACCGCAUAACGUCGCAAGACCAAAGUGGGGGACCUUCGGGCCUCAUGCCAUCAGAUGUGCCCAGAUGGGAUUAGCUAGUAGGUGGGGUAACGGCUCACCUAGGCGACGAUCCCUAGCUGGUCUGAGAGGAUGACCAGCCACACUGGAACUGAGACACGGUCCAGACUCCUACGGGAGGCAGCAGUGGGGAAUAUUGCACAAUGGGCGCAAGCCUGAUGCAGCCAUGCCGCGUGUGUGAAGAAGGCCUUCGGGUUGUAAAGCACUUUCAGCGGGGAGGAAGGCGGUGAGGUUAAUAACCUCAUCGAUUGACGUUCCCCGCAGAAGAAGCACCGGCUAACUCCGUGCCAGCAGCCGCGGUAAUACGGAGGGUGCAAGCGUUAAUCGGAAUUACUGGGCGUAAAGCGCACGCAGGCGG
rnacentral:rRNA from 1 species